GUCCUUGUAGCGCAAUGGAUAGCGCGUUGGACUUCUAAUCCAAAAGUCGUGGGUUCGAAUCCACCUGGGAUG